GAGUCGUACAAGGUUUCCGUAGGUGAACUGCGGAAGGAUCAUUGUCGAAACGAAACGAAUGACUCGCGAACGUGUCAACCAAACAGAGGGGACCGAGCGCGGCGUGCGAGACCCCUCCGCAUCGCCUCGCCCCUCGAAUGUCGUGCCGACGCCGUGGUGAGGCGGCUUCCUCGUGUCACGUGGGAUGCUCGUCGAGCGAUGACGGUGGGUGCGACAUCUAACCCAAACCCGGGCGCAAGUCGCGCCAAGGAAGAUGGAUAUACAACCUCCGACCUCCCCUGGGCUUAGGCCACGGGGGCUGGCUUCGUGUGGUAAAAUGCAUAAGAGAUGACUCCCGACAACGGAUAUCUCGGCUCUUGCAUCGAUGAAGAACGUAGCGAAAUGCGAUACUUGGUGUGAAUUGCAGAAUCCCGUGAACCAUCGAGUCUUUGAACGCAAGUUGCGCCCGAGGCCACUACGGUUGAGGGCACGUCUGUCUGGGCGUCGCAUGCAGCGUCACCCGACACCUUCUCCCUUGUUUAGGUGUCGGUGGAGUAUGGCCUCCCGUGUCGUAGGUUAUGACGCGGUUGGUCCAAAUGGGAAGCUCGGGGCAACGAAAGCCGUGACAAUGGGUGGUCAGCGAGGCCGAAAGGCAAGGUUGCGACGUCUUGUCAUUGCAUCGUUUGCCGGUUGCUUGUUUCGAUCCCGAACUGCCACCAUGGCAGGAAUACAUGGCGACCCAGAUCAGGCGGGGCUACCCGCU
rnacentral:rRNA from 1 species